GUAGUUCCUGGGCUUCGUACCUGCUGCUGGAGGUGACUGGCUCCUUCUGACCCCAGUACCUGGAGGGUGAAGAGGCCGAGGCUGAGGCCGAGAGGCCAUGGAGCUGUGCUUCUUCAUGUGUGGACGGCUGUGACAGAUCAUGAACUGGAGCCAGGUGGAGAGAAGACUAGAUUGGAACUCACUCCAGAUCCUCUUCUGGGUUUCUUCCAGAUGACCCCCAAUCACCUAUCUGGUCUCAGUCAUCAGAACUCAUUGCCCAGGUCUAAGAAGAGAAACAGACUCUACCUCUUUAGGGGAAAGUAGCAAGUUCUGCAGGAAUGUGUGGGACUGGAAAUAUGAACAUGGCCAUUUUGGGAAAAUACAACCUGGCACAGUAAGUCCUCUUCCUCUCUGUCUGCACCACAUAUCCGCAGAGCAAAUAUGGAAA